rnacentral:rRNA from 1 species
AUUGAACGCUGGCGGCAUGCCUUACACAUGCAAGUCGAACGGUAGCGGGCCUUCGGGUGCCGACGAGUGGCGAACGGGUGAGUAAUGUAUCGGAACGUACCUUUCAGUGGGGGAUAACGUAGCGAAAGUUGCGCUAAUACCGCAUAUUCUGUGAGCAGGAAAGCAGGGGAUCGCAAGACCUUGCGCUGAUUGAGCGGCCGAUAUCAGAUUAGCUAGUUGGUGAGGUAAAGGCUCACCAAGGCGACGAUCUGUAGCGGGUCUGAGAGGAUGAUCGGCCACACUGGAACUGAGACACGGUCCAGACUCCUACGGGAGGCAGCAGUGGGGAAUUUUGGACAAUGGGGGCAACCCUGAUCCAGCCAUGCCGCGUGAGUGAAGAAGGCCUUCGGGUUGUAAAGCUCUUUCGGCCGGGAAGAAAUCGUAUCAGCUAAUACCUGGUGCGGAUGACGGUACCGGCAUAAGGAGCACCGGCUAACUACGUGCCAGCAGCCGCCGCUGUAA